rnacentral:rRNA from 1 species
GUGGGGAAUCUUCCACAAUGGACGAAAGUCUGAUGGAGCAACGCCGCGUGAAGGAUGAAGGCCUUCGGGUUGUAAACUUCUUUUGGAGGGGACGAAUAAAUUGACGGUACCCUCAGAAAAAGCCACGGCUAACUACGUGCCAGCAGCCGCGGUAAUACGUAGGUGGCGAGCGUUACUCGGAAUUACUAGGCGUAAAGCGUAUGUAGGCGGUUGUAUAAGUCUAUGGUGAAAUUUCCUGGCUCAACUGGGAAGGGACAUAGAUACUGUAUGGCUUGAGUGUUGGAGGGGGAGACGGAAUUCCUGGUGUAGCGGUGAAAUGCGUAGAUAUCAGGAGGAACACCGAUGGCGAAAGCAGUCUCCUGGCCAAAUACUGACGCUGAGGUACGAAAGCUAGGGUAGCAAACAGGAUUAGAUACCCGUGUAGUCC